rnacentral:rRNA from 1 species
AACAUAGCUGGCAGAAUUUAUUUUCAGUGGGGCCUGCUCGGUGAAAAAUUUUUAACAGAUGCUUAGCAUUAAAGUAGCGUAAUAAUUUGUCUUUUUAUUGGGGACUUGUAUGAAGGUAUAAACGGAAAUUAGCUGUCUCAAUCAAACAAACUUGAAAUUAAUUUGUAAGUGAAAAAUCUUACACCAACUAGCAGGACGACAAGACCCUAUAGAAUUUUAUUGUAAAUAUUGUGGGACUUAUAUUGCAAUUUUGUUGGGGCAACACAGGAAAUAACUUCCUUGGAAAAAACAUUUGUUAGUAAUCUAAAAAAAUCCUUGAAAAGAAUAAAAAAAAAUUACCUUAGGGAUAACAGCGUAAUCUUCUUAGAGAGAUCUUAUCGACAAGAAGGCUUGCGACCUCGAUGUUGGACUAAGAUAACCUCAGGGUUGCAGAAGCUCUGUAGAGUUAGCCUGUUCGGCUAUUAAAAUCUUA